rnacentral:rRNA from 1 species
GACGAACGCUGGCGGCGUGCUUAACACAUGCAAGUCGAACGGAAAGGCCCUGCUUUUGUGGGGUGCUCGAGUGGCGAACGGGUGAGUAACACGUGAGUAACCUGCCCUUGACUUUGGGAUAACUUCAGGAAACUGGGGCUAAUACCGGAUAGGAGCUCCUGCUGCAUGGUGGGGGUUGGAAAGUUUCGGCGGUUGGGGAUGGACUCGCGGCUUAUCAGCUUGUUGGUGGGGCAGUGGCUUACCAAGGCUUUGACGGGUAGCCGGCCUGAGAGGGUGACCGGCCACAUUGGGACUGAGAUACGGCCCAGACUCCUACGGGAGGCAGCAUUGGGGAAUAUUGCACAAUGGGCGGAAGCCUGAUGCAGCAACGCCGCGUGCGGGAUGACGGCCUUCGGGUUGUAAACCGCUUUCGCCUGUGACGAAGCGUGAGUGACGGUAAUGGGUAAAGAAGCACCGGCUAACUACGUG